AUGCCGGCUACGGACUACCAGGGCUCCUCCUCCUCCCACUCCCACUCCCCGUUCGCCUCCUUCGGCCGCUCGCUGCUGUCCCGGAGCCGGGACACCCCGGCGUCCCCCGCCAUGCUCCCGUCCGGCGGGGAGGCCGAGGUCGAGGCGUUCCAGCGCCACGUGGCCGUCAGCCUCGCGCAGCUGAGGGACGGGGAGGAUUUCCUCUCCGUCCCGUGGAUCCGGCGGCUCCUCGAGGCGUUCCUGCUGUGCCAGGAGGAGUUUCGGGCGGUCGUGGCCGAGGCGCGGCGCCGCGGCGGCGGAGGCGCGCUGGCGGAGAGGCUGGUGGGGGAGUACCACGAGCGCGCGGUGAAGGCGCUUGACGUGUGCAACGCCGCCCGCGACGGGGUUGACCAGGUCCGGCGCUGGGUGCGGCUCGCCGGCAUCGCGGCGUCCGUGCUGCUCGCCCCCGACGAGAUCCACGAGGGCCAGCUCCGCCGCGCGAGGAAGGCGCUGUCCGACCUCUCGAUCCUCCUCGUGGACGACGCGGCCGCCGCCGGGGGCGGGGGCGGCGUCGCCUCCUUCCUCGCCUCCCACCGCAACCGCUCCUUCGGCCGCGGGAGCCGCGCGUCCCCGUCUCGCGCGUCCUCCGCCUCUUCCUCGUCCUCCUCCUCCUCGCACUUCCGCUCGCUCUCGUGGAGCGUGUCCCGCACCUGGUCGGCGUCGCGGCAGCUGCAGGCCAUCGGGGCCGGCCUGGCCGCGCCGCGCGCGCACGAGGCGGGCCUCGCCGCGCCCGUCUACGCAAUGGGGUGCCUGCUGCACCUCGCCUCGUGGGCGCUCGUCGCGGCCGUCCCGUGCCCGGACCGCGCCGCGGCGCUCCAAGCGCACCACCUCCCCGCCGCGCCGCCGCGCGGGGCGUUCGCGUGGGCGCCGCCGCUCCUGACGCUCCAGGACCGGCUCACCGAGGAGGGGAAGCGCAAGGACAGGCGCAAUUCCUGCGGCCUCCUCAAGGAAAUCCACGCGCUCGAGAAGUGCGCGCAGAGGCUCGCCGAGGCGAUCGACGCGGCGCCCAUCCCGCUCACCGGAGAGAGGGAGGCCGCGGUGCGGGAGGCCGCCGCGGAGCUCGCCGCCGUGUGCAGCACCAUGAAGGACGGCCUGGAGCCGCUGGAGAGGCAGGUCCGGGAGGUGUUCCACCGCAUUGUGCGCAGCCGCAUGGAGGGCCUCGACUCGCCGAUGCCCAACGCCGCCGACUGA
rnacentral:rRNA from 1 species